UGCUGAAAGUACGCUGUCCGGAUUUUUAUGAGUUUCUCCCUCUAUACCUCUGGGUUUCUGACCGUAAAGGGGAAACUCACUCCCAACAGUCGGCUAAGCCAACGCGGCCUUGGAAUUCCAAACUGAACACAGUUUGGUUCAGGUUUUUCAACGGCGGCAAAACCCAGCCGUCCACGGGGCUCCUAGGAAAGCCAGAGGGGACCAAUUAGGAAGGAAGAAAUUAAAGACAAGAGUAAAGGAAAGAGGAGGCGCGGAUGAAAGGUCCAGUGGAGAGUGAGUGACAAGGCAGGAGCCCGGCAGCCGGGGCGGACAGGCGGCCGCGCGGGGGGGGGACUGACAGGGACGGCGGCUCCCGGCUGGCGGCGGCGCGCCCCCGGGCUGUGAAUGCGACUCGCCCCUCGGCCGCGCUCCCCGCCCGCCCGCCCGCCGGGACGUGGUAGGGGAUGCCCAGCUCCACUGCGAUGGCAGUUGGCGCGCUGUCCAGUUCCCUCCUGGUCACCUGCUGCCUGAUGGUGGCUCUGUGCAGUCCGAGCAUCCCGCUGGAGAAGCUGGCCCAGGCGCCGGAGCAGCGGGGCCAGGAGAAGCGCGAGCACGCGUCUCGGGACGGCCCGGGGCGGGUGAGCGAGCUCGGGCGCCCCGCGAGGGACGAGGGCGGCAGCGGCCGGGACUGGAAGAGCAAGGGCGGCCGGGGGCUCGCCGGCCGGGAGGCGUGGAGCAAGCAGAAACAGGCCUGGGCCGCCCAGGGCGGGGGCGCCAAGGCCGGGGACCUGCAGGGCCGGCCCCGCGGGGACACCCCGCAGGGGGAGCCCCCGGCCGCCGCCCAGGACGCGACCGGCCCGGACCUCGUGCCCACGCCCGAACCGCCCGAGGAGUACGCGUACCCGGACUACCGCGGCAAGGGCUGCGUGGACGAGAGCGGCUUCGUGUAUGCCAUCGGGGAGAAGUUCGCGCCGGGCCCCUCGGCCUGCCCGUGCCUGUGCACCGAGGAGGGGCCGCUGUGCGCGCAGCCCGAGUGCCCGCGGCUGCACCCGCGCUGCAUCCACGUCGACACGAGCCAGUGCUGCCCGCAGUGCAAGGAGAGGAAGAACUACUGCGAAUUCCGGGGCAAGACCUACCAGACUCUGGAGGAGUUCGUGGUGUCUCCGUGUGAGCGGUGCCGCUGUGAAGCCAACGGGGAGGUGCUGUGCACCGUGUCAGCGUGUCCUCAGACGGAGUGUGUGGACCCCGUGUACGAGCCUGACCAGUGCUGCCCCAUCUGCAAAAAUGGCCCGAACUGCUUUGCGGAAACAACUGUCAUCCCCGCUGGAAGAGAAGUCAAGACUGACGAAUGUACCAUAUGUCAUUGUACUUACGAGGAAGGCACGUGGAGGAUCGAGAGACAGGCCAUGUGCACAAGGCAUGAGUGCAGGCAAAUGUAGAAACGGGACCACACACACACACACACACAAAAACAAAAAAACCGGACGUUUUUCUAGAACAUUUUACUGACGGGAUCAUUCUAGAUGACUCUGGGGAAUGGCAUUCAACAGAAGACUUUUGAUGAGGAAUACGGAACAUGGUUGGUACUUUUGCGUUUCUUGCUAACAGUUACUGCAAAAGAAGGAAAUGGGUAUAUUUCAAAACAUCCACAAGAACUUUGGGCAUAACCCCCCCCCCAAAUAAAUGUGCUAUUUUCACAGUACGGUCCAUCCACUGAGAUUUACAAAAUAUGGCCAAAUGUUAUGACCCAGUCUUCCCGAAGCCAAGUGAAACUAACUGCCAUUUAUUGCGUGCCAAUUAUAUGACAAGCAUUCCAAUAGGCAUUUCAAAUUCUUUCAUUUGAUUUCUUCCUUUUGUCAACUCUGAUGUAUCGAUGAGGAAAUUAACACAUGGUUCUUUAGUGAAAGUGAGUCUGCCAGUAAAAUGUUCAUGUUCUGGGUACAACAACAUCAAUUUUAUCUACCAAGUGUGACAACGGAAGAAUCCCCAACCACCAUUUUUCCUGUUUAUCUGACACAUGAAGAAUAUCACAAUCAGUGCUGGAGAUAACCAAGGGGAAUUCCAGUCAAGGAUAAAGAGGGGAGGACCUUGAUCCAAAGGGAAUGCCCGUGACGCUUUUAGGGAACAAGGACUGGCACGUGCUGGUUGGAGGGCUGCAGGCAUGUGGUUUCCACCCCUGACCUGGGCCUUCGUCCACACUGACAGAAUCGCAAUGGCUAAAAUCCAAGGCCAAAGCAUCCUUUUAACAUUUACAAGUAUCCUCAAUAAAAAAGAAUAUUUGCAAUCUCUCUGCUUUAUGUAAUUUAGCAGUAAGGCCUUUGGCCAUUGGAGGUCUGGUUCUGAACACUGUCCUACCAUUUACUGAGUACUGAUCAGGUACAUGAUACCCUACCUCUGCACUUCUGACUGCUCUUCAGUAAAGUGGGGACAGUAGUACCAAACCCUACGGUAAUUACAUGAGUUACUAUUUGUAAAACACACAGGCUAGAAGAGAUUAAUAGUCAUCAAGCACAAGGUCCAUAUAAAGGUGUUUAUUACUUAAUACAUGGGAAAUAUGAGAAUAUUGAAAUUAAAACAUUUUGAAGAUUCAAAUUCAGUAAAAGUGAAUGUCUAAUUUGGGACUCAUUUUAUUCCUAUGUUUGAAUUAAAAACAUAACUUACAUGCUAUCAUAGCUUUUAUCCCAUUUAUACAUAAUAUUUUCCAGAAAAUUGUUUUGUAAUAACUUAAUAUUAUGUGGAGCUGAAUUUAUAUGGUUAGGCCCAAUCUGUAUGUGUUGUUGCAUGGGUAUGUGUGUUGAACUGAUUUAUAAAAUAAACUAUUUAUUAAACUGGGUUUUGCCCUUCUAGACAGAGUCACAUUUAAGAGAAUACGUCUAAAAUAUUUCAGCCUUUUGAACUAAACAACAAUAA